GUUAAGUUGUUGCGGCUAAAAGCUCGUAGUUGGAUUUCUGUUGAGGACAUCUGGUCCGCUCUAUGGGCGUGCAACUAGUUUGGCCUCGGCAUCCGCUCUGCAUACGUUCUGCGCUUGAUUGCGUGGUUCGGAGGUAGGGCCUUUUUCUUUGAGGAAAUUAGAGUGUUCACGGCAGGCAAUCGCCUUGAAUAUAUUAGCAUGGAAUAAUAACAUAGGAUCUUGGUUCUAUUUUGUUGGUUUCUAGAGCUGAGAUAAUGAUUAAUAGGGACAAUUGGGGGCAUUCGUAUUGCGGUGUCAGAGGUGGAAUUCUUGGAUUACUGCACGACGAACUACUGUGAAAGCAUUUGCCAAGGAUGUUUUCAUUGAUCAAGAACGAAAGUAAGGGGAUCGAAGACGAUUAGAUACCGUCGUAGCCUUUACCAUAAACUAUGCCAACUAGAGAUGGGGCGUCGUUCUUAUAUGACUCGCUCCGCACCUUAUGAGAAAUCAAAGUUUUUGGGUUCUGGGGGGAGUAUGGUCGCAAGGCUGAAACUUAAAGGAAUUGACGGAA
rnacentral:rRNA from 1 species